rnacentral:rRNA from 1 species
GACGAACGCUGGCGGCGCGCCUAACACAUGCAAGUCGAACGAGCGAGAGAGAGCUUGCUUUCUCAAGCGAGUGGCGAACGGGUGAGUAACGCGUGAGGAACCUGCCUCAAAGAGGGGGACAACAGUUGGAAACGACUGCUAAUACCGCAUAAGCCCACGACCCGGCCUCGGGUAGAGGGAAAAGGAGCAAUCCGCUUUGAGAUGGCCUCGCGUCCGAUUAGCUAGUUGGUGAGGUAACGGCCCACCAAGGCGACGAUCGGUAGCCGGACUGAGAGGUUGAACGGCCACAUUGGGACUGAGACACGGCCCAGACUCCUACGGGAGGCAGCAGUGGGGAAUAUUGCACAAUGGGGGAAACCCCGAUGCAGCGACGCCGCGUGGAGGAAGAAGGUCUUCGGAUUGUAAACUCCUGUUGUUGAGGAAGAUAAUGACGGUACUCAACAAGGAAGUGACGGCUAACUACGUG